rnacentral:rRNA from 1 species
CCUACGGGGCGCAGCAGUGAGGAAUAUUAGUCAAUGGGCGCGAGCCUGAACCAGACAAGUAGCGUGAAGGAUGACUGCCCUACGGGUUGUAAACUUCUUUUAUAAAGGAAUAAAGUGAGGCACGUGUGCCUUUUUGUAUGUACUUUAUGAAUAAGGAUAGGCGAAAUACGUGCCAGCAGCCGCGGUAAUACGGAGGAUCCGAGCGUUAUCCGGAUUUAUUGGGGUUAAAGGGAGCGUAGAUGGGUUGUUAAGUCAGUUGUGAAAGUUUGCGGCUCAACCGUAAAAUUGCAAUUGAAACUGGCAGCCUUGAGUACAGUUGAGGUAGGCGGAAUUCGUGGUGUAGCGGUGAAAUGCUUAGAUAUCACGAAGAACUCCGAUUGCGAAGGCAGCCUACUAAACUGCCACUGACAUUGAUGCUCGAAAGUGUGGGUAUCAAACAGGAUUAGAUACCCGGGUAGUC